ensembl:lncRNA
CCCCUCUGACCUCCUCCUCUGAUCUCCACCUCCUCUUCUGACCUCCACCUCUGACCUCCACCUCCUCCUCUGACCUCCACCUCUGACCUCCUCCUCUGACCUCCACCUCCUCCUCUGAUCUCCACCUCUGACCUCCUCCUCUGACCUCCACCUCCUCCUCUGACCUCCACCUCCUCCUCUGACUCCUCCUCUAACCUCCUCCUCUGACCUCCACCUCCUCCUCCGACCUCCGCCUCUGACCUCCACCUUCUCCUCUUCUGACCUCCACCUCCUCCUCUGACCUCCACCUCCUCCUCUGACUCCUCCUCUAACCUCCACCUCCUCCUCUGACCUCCACCUCCUCCUCUGACCUCCUCCUCUGACCUCCACUUUCUCCUCCAAUGUGUGUUCUCCGUUGUCAAAGUCACGUGACUUAUGUGUCUCCUUUCUAGACAGAUCUGCAUAGAAAGGUUAUUCAUGUUAAUCCCGUUGAUUAUAACUGUCUAUGGUUAAUGGAGUCUAUACAUGUCUUGUGAAACAUGCUAGGUCUCAUGUGGCCUAAACAUGUCUAAUAUAUCAUGCUAUGUCUAUGGAGACUAUAAAUGUCCAAUAUAACAUGCUAUGUCUAAUAUGGCAUGCCAUGUCUAAUGGUGUCUUAACAUGUAUUUUAUAACAUGCUAUGUUUUGGUGUCUAUACAUGUCUAAUAUAACAUGCAUAUGUGAAAUAUGUUUCUUAUUUAAAACAUGUUGUCUUAUGUAAACACUAUGAUAGACCUGAUGAACAAAUUUGUUUUUUAUAGAUGCGCGUUUCGUCAUUUCUUCCUGAUGUAUUAAAACAUGGAAAACUUGAAAGGACAACUACGGUAAUAAGGCCGACCAUGAAGCACCUUGUAGAGGUUCUGGGGGUUCUUUAGGAUCAUGUAGCAGACCUCCUGUGUUUAGGACCCAUUAGCAGAGGUUCUGGGGGUUCCUUUAGGACCCUUUAGCAGAGGUUCUGGAGGUUCAGGCCUUUAGGACCCUUUAGCAGAGGUUCUGGAGGUUCCUUUAGGACCCUUUAGCAGAGGUUCUGGAGGUUCAGGCCUUUAGGACCCUUUAGCAGAGGUUCUGGAGGUUCCUUUAGGACCCUUUAGCAGAGGUUCUGGGGGUUCAGGCCUUUAGGACCAUAGAGCAGAGGUUCUGGAGGUUCAGGCCUUUAGGACCCUUUAGCAGAGGUUCUGGAGGUUCAGGCCUUUAGGACCCUUAAGCAGAGGUUCUGGGGGUUCAGGCCUUUAGGACCCUUUAGCAGAGGUUCUGGGGGUUCCUUUAGGACCCUUUAGCAGAGGUUCUGGGGGUUCAGGCCUUUAGGACCAUAGAGCAGAGGUUCUGGGGGUUCCUUUAGGACCCUUUAGCAGAGGUUCUGGGGGUUCAGGUGUUUGGACCCUAUAGCAGAGGUUCUGGGGGUUCAGGCCUUUAGGACCCCCCUCACUCCUUUGUGAUGCUGAAAAGGAGCCACAAAUAUAAAUAAUGUAUUUAUUUUCUUUCUAUGUUUUGUUACAUUAAUUUGGAUCGUAUCGAAUUGGUCAUGCAUCAAUAGAAUUAUUUUUGUUACUCCAAUCUUGUUUGCGAGUAUUGAGUGUCACCCGUAGGUCACUUGUAAGACUAAUUAGUCACUUUGGAUAAAAGUUUCUGCUAAAUGAUUACAUUUAAAUGUAGCUGGGUGGUUGACGUGACGCCAGCGUUCAACUGCAUAAAAAUAAUGAUGCCAUUUGUUAAAGAAAUAUUUUUACAUUUUUAAGAAGAUUUAGUUUUUUGUGAACAUACAUUUAUUCAUAAUAUUUAAUAUUAAUUUGUCUUAAAAUUUCAAUUAAUCUAUUAUUUUG